UUGUAGAAUAGGUUUGAUGCAUGUUUAGAAGGUUUGGAGGCGAAAUGUGCAAAAGGAACCAAGUUUAUGCCCUUUGGCAGAAACCAGGUUCGGCAGCCGAAGGACUUUCGGCCGCCGAACAUGGCUGGGGAGGCAAGCCUUUCGGCUGCCGAAGCCUGCCCCCGAAAGGAGACUUUCGUCUCUGCCUGGCAGUUUCGGCCGCCGAAAGUGCCGCCGAACAUGCAUGAGUUUCGUCUCUGUCUGGGAGUUUCAGCCGCCGAAGGUGCCGCUGAACCUGCCUGACUUUCGGCUCUGGAGGAACUUUCGGCCGCCGAACCUGCCGCCGAAAGUGCCCUGUCCAGCCUUCCUUUGCAUGUUCUUGCAUGGAUGUUUUGAGGUGUUUUAGAGGGUUUUUGGGGGAUGUUUUCAGAGUCAUGUUAUAGUAUGUUGGUCCCCCAUUUGAGUCCACCUGUGUAGGUUCGGACCCGAGGAACCGAGGACCUCAGCAGUGAGUCAGCUGCUUCAGUCAGUGUCAGAGCUAGCCAGAGGUGAGUGGAAUAACUCUUAUGCUUUUAAAUAAAUAAAUUAGUUUUGAGCAUGUUCAUGCAUCACGGAUGCCAUGUGAUAUUUUAGGUUGCUUGCAUUAGAAAUCACGAAUAUGUUGCAUUGCAUAAUAUGUUGUUGAUGUGGAUGAACGUUGAAUGAUCCAUUAGCCCUCAUAUGUUAUGACGUGAUGAUAUGAUAUGGAAGUCCAGGUGUGGCCUGCCCUACGCCCCUGGCACUAUGUAAGAGAAAGACCGGAUGUGGCCUGCACUACGCCCCCGGCACCAUUAGUUAUGUAUGUUAUGUUAUGUAUAAGAGAAAGACCAGGUGUGGCCUGCACUACGCCCCUGGCACGAUUGGAAUAUGUAGAGGGCUAAAUGGUGACAAGUUCAUCC
rnacentral:lncRNA from 1 species